UUCUAACCUGCAAGAUAUUAACACUAUAGAUCGUGAUUGCUUUGUCUGUAAGCAUAACAAACAUCCCUUCACCUUUCUGAAAACAGACACUACAGAUGACAUGUCCACAGGUUGUGAUUGCCAGUUUGCGGCCAGCAGAGGGAGAAUGGAAGCAGGAGUUGCAGCACGUCCAGUAAGGCAUUUUAAUCCCUCCUCCUGCAAGAAAUAAGAUUUUGGGCUCCUAAACUGAGAAUUCCGAGCAAUCGAGGGUCCCGUGAAUGCAGUAAAAAACAGCGUCUCACCAGGCUCUCUCCAGUAAAAACGGAGAAUCGUGUGGAGUUGGUUUGGAAGCAGAGAUAAUGUAGACCAGAGGCGUGAGCUGUGAAUGUGAAUUUACCAAAUUUACCAAAGCGUUUGGUCAUCACAACCUGGAGAGCAGGAAAGACACUGUAAGGCCGACACCAGGACCUCAUUUGUGAAGCACAAAGAAGAGCUGGAGUGACGCCAAAGUGAGGGGAGGAGGUGAUUUUCUUGAUAUUCCAGGGCUCCAGCAAGAAAUAACCUGAAGGACUCACCAGUGACCAGUGUGUCUUCAGGAAUCUCCUCAAUGAUGCAUUUUUCCUCCUGGUCUCCGAGAUCAAAAUACAUGGCAGCUGCCAACAUCAGUACAUCAUGUGCAAGAACACACCCUUCAUAUUUACCCUCACCAGUGGCUGGUGAAAUUUCCAUCCCUGAUUGCUACUCUUACUACCUCACCAUGAAGAAGACCAGGAAAGAAGAGAGGGGGAGUGUCGCUGUCUGCACCUGUGAUCAGUCAGCCGCCUGAGUCCAUUGUGCAGAGACCGGGUGAUUUAUGAUGCUGCUGGCUCUGGUGGCGUGCAGCAACACGGCAUGGUUAAAAAGCCCCUAUAUCCUAGUCUUUCAGCCCCUCACUGUGGCUCUCGCUGUCCCUUCAUCACUCGUUGCCUCAUUUUCAGAUCUCCAUCCCUCAUUUCUUCAGACUCUUUUAAUAUCACUUGCUAUUUCCUUUUCUCUGCUUUCUCCUGUCGAUCUCUCAAACUAUGAGAAAAGCCACAUUCUUCUGUUUUGCAGGAAAUCAUCUAAAUGUGCAGGUAUACUGUGUUCAGGCAGCUUCUGCAGUCUUUUGUUUUUUGUUUUCGUCUUCCAUCUCUCGACCCAAACCUCAAUUCUCAGGAAGAAAAGAACAGACAACAGAUAUAUCGUGCACCACCAGUCCUCCCUCUUUCUUAUCUUCUCUCACAAGCACUCACACACAAACAUUCUGCCCCUCCCACACAUACAUGAACACAGAUGCAUACUCAGCACACCAAUCCUUGCAGGUUGACAUGUAUAAUAUGCAGUGAUGUAUGACAAACACAAGUGCAUACACCUAGAAAAUGAUAGCCUUGCAAGGAUUCUGGAUCGCCCUCUGACACACACACACACACACACACGCACAUUUCACACACAGAGAUGCACAUAUUCACAAGGUCUUGAUUUGCAGGUACAGUUCAGGUUUGUCAGCUUUUUGUUCCCAUUACAUCGACACCAGCAGCAAAACAGACAACAAUGUUUGGCAGCGGUUUAGUUGCAGCAACCAGAUUAGAGUCAAACUUUGAAUAAACAAACUGUACUUGCACAUUUGUACAGUUAAUUUUCUA